CCUACGGGCGGCUGCAGUGAGGAAUCUUCCACAAUGGACGCAAGUCUGAUGGAGCGACACCGCGUGAAGGAUGAAGGCCUAACGGUUGUAAACUUCUUUUCUGAAGGAGCAUAAUGAGAGUACUUCAGGAAUAAGGGACGGCUAAAUACGUGCCAGCAGCCGCGGUAAUACGUAUGUCCCGAGCGUUACCCGGAAUCACUGGGUGUAAAGGGUUCGUAGGCGGUUAGAAAAGUUGGAUAUGAAAGACCGGAGCUUAACUCCGAGUUUGUGUUCAAAACUGUCUGACUAGAAUCAGGGAGAGGUAAGCGGAAUUCUGUGUGUAGGGGUGCAAUCCGUAGAUACACAGAGGAACACCAAAAGCGAAGGCAGCUUACUGGAACUGAAUUGACGCUCAUGAACGAAAGCGUGGGGAGCGAACAGGAUUAGAUACCCUAGUAGUC
rnacentral:rRNA from 1 species